rnacentral:miRNA from 1 species
UCAAUGCACCGCGUUGACUCCA